AACACGCCAACGGAGAGAUCACAUCGCAGAGCCAACGACACCCCCCUCCUCCACUCUUCAUCGUCGUGUCGACGACGUUAUUUUUCUUGUCCGCAGCUGACCCAUCACAAGGACGAAGCAAUGUAGACUGAGGACAGCCCGGCUGUGGGGCGUGCAGCAUUACCAACACCCUACGGGGUUAUGGUACUAUAUCUUUGAUCAUUGAGCACCUUUGAAGUAAAGUCUUUGGUUAGGAUCCCACACAAUCGACAAUCCAAUAUAAUAGCAUUGCAUUAAUUAGUCAUCUUGGAAAAGCAAGUUUUAACAUUCUACCGCGCCACGCUAUAUUAGAAGGAUCCUAUAAAAAAGACAAACGAAAAAAAAAGUCAGUCGUAAAUUAGUUAUGAGAGGAGUGGGUCCAUAUAUGGUGGUUGAUAAAAUCUGCUAAUUGAAGUAAAUGGUAAGCGAGCCUUGGGCUAUUUGACAUCUACGAAAAAUAACGACUCGUGCCAGGCGUCCUCGGACGCCUCGGUUUUGUCGAGGAGACCUGAGGAUUAGCAGUCAAAAUUUUUCGAACAAAGCAUGAUUUGAGCAAAUCUCACCCAGCACAAUAGAGAACGCCACGUCGUCAGGGUGCGCUUGCUUAGGAUGCCAGGAGCGAGAAAUAAAAAAAUUAAGGCUUGAUUGGUAGGCUGUAGACAGAAGCGUUACGUAGAUUAAGGUUUCGCUUGAUAUUUAUCGUCGAACAUCCACACUAUAUAUCAAAAGUUUCUCAGCUUAUAUCGAUUAUCGUAUUCUGGUAGUCGUUUUGAUGUAAGGCUUUUUUGUACGUUCAAAAGCACUUUUCAACAGACGUAAGCGAAUUGAGCGUCAUUCAAGCCAGUACUUCAGAGGCUUUCUUCCAAUUCUAUUUGAAUGUAAGUGAGAGGUUUUGAAUUUUCUUGUUUGCGCAUGAAGUGAAAGCCGGUAAAAGAUGUAGUUCCUAGGCGUGCCUGCUUGUGUGAGACCUGUUUCUGCAAAGAGACUUACGUACAUACAAGUGGGUCACACAAAGAUUAAUUUUAUUAUUUCAUUGAGUACCUUGAUUUUUGAAAACCUUCAAAAUCGCGCGUUAGGUUUUGGCCUAUGUAAGUCAUUCUUGCAUACGAGCGCUAGUGACAAAGUCUCUAAUUCGUAUAAAAAUUGAAACAGAAAACACUCACGUUCAAUUGCACGCAAUUUACUGAGUAAAUUGUUCUUUGAUUGUAUUUAAAAGUAAAAUUUAGUAUUAUAAUUCGCGAUUGUUACGUCUUACAUAUAUAUAUUUUUUAAAGAAGAUAUACACAAAUCUAUCUAAGCUUUCUAACGGUCACGAAGAAAGGCGCCCCUAGAGGGGGCGGGGGCGCCUCGGGCGAGAAUAAACCCGAUAUUGUCAACUGAUGUAGUUUAUUGGCGUUAUAUACUUUGAUAAUUCGAGAGCACAGCAAAAUUUUCCAUCGUAAUUUUGCAUUGAAACUUAGCCCCUACUAAGACUGAGGUAGGCACCUACAAGAUCCUGAUUUCUUCUUUCUUACGAUUAUACGAGAGGAUGCGAGAGAAAGAUUAAAAACCAUUUAUUGGGUAAUGCAGAGUCAUAUAUAGUACGAGAUAAUUCUCUUUGUAAGAGUGCGCAAACGUUUUAAAUUUUUGAUCGAAGCAGCGAUCGUCGAGCUGUGAUUCCUCUUAGAAAUAUACGGUCAUAGUGCUUGUAACACCGAAUAUUUCAAAAGUCCUUUAAAUGUGUGAUUAGGAGCCUUAUAUUAAACAGGAUAUACAACACUUUAUCAAUAUAACCAUUUAAUUACUGUUCUUUCGAAGUCAUUUUUUUAUACUCGAAACAAAUUUUGCGCAUCUUUGAGUCACUUUGCGAAGAUUAAAAAAGUAUGUAAUUAACACCUUGUCGUACUUGCUAUAUAGAUCUAUAUCUAAACAAUUAAGCAUUAGCCUAUUCGAUAAAUUACCAAGUUACACGAGAACAAAGAUCGACCCGAAAAACUGAAUAAAUAUUAAUACCUGCUGGUGUAGUCUAUUUAAUUAAAUCAUCUUUUACUAGAAACUAUUUAUCAAUUUAAAUAUUUAUUACAGACAACUGCUAAUUUUCUCAUCGAAUACUUUUUGUAAAAAAUCCUAUAGUCAUUAAUUUAUUUCCAUAAGUUUACGUCGUCCAAUAUUUUUUCAUUGUUUGAUUUUUUCAUAAAAGAGGGGCACUUUGAAGAUUGCGACUAUCCCAUGACUUUUACUGCGGUAAAAGUCAUGGGAUAGUCGCCGUCUUUGUAAGAUUUCUUUAUUAGAUAUAAUUCACACUAUUUUAUAAAGGUUUCAUGAUUUUCAACUAAUAAAUAAUUACAAGAAAUACAAAGAGAAUGUAAUGCGAAAAUAAGAAGUUGAUCUUAAAAUCGAGUUUGCAAUUUUGAAAAAAAAUCAUAAUAUCAGUAUACAAAGAAAUUUAAACUUAUGCCAUCUUCCAACUUGACAUAAAGUCUACUAACUAUAUUUAAUAAUACGUCACUAAUAAACGUUUUUCACGUAAGAACAGUUUGUUAGACGUUUCUUAAUUAAUUCUUUGUAGUUACUUUUUCUGAGAUAUUCUGAUCGCGUAAUACAGAAGCUUCGGUUAUUCAUGGUAGCUUCUUUUCCUUGGUCUAGUAAUUUAAAAACAAUUCGUAUUAAGUCUUAACUUGUUUAGGGUCGUCUCCGUGGAAUAUAAAGUAAAGUUGAAUAAUUUUCACGUUAUUCGGCUAUACUUUAUAUUCCAUGGAGACAUUCUAGCUUACGCGUCAUAACGAUGUAAUGUUUGAAUCUUCCGAGAAAAGCGAGAGUCCAUCGCGAUAGCCAUCCUUUGCUAUAAUAACUUCCAUUGAAUCUAAUAAAAGAACAUUUCGAGCACGUGUUCAGUCUUAACGAUUGCUUUCGAUAUUCAAAGAUUUUCUUGAACGUGAAAAAUCCACUGAGUGAGAUAUUAUAUUGAAACAAUUGAAUAUGCGGAGGUUAUUAGUAAAGGCACGCAUUGCUGCUCGAAGUUUAAAGAGAGUAUAGAAGACCAUUUUACAAAUAAAAUAAGUAAAUGUCUAAGCUUAAAGCCGGCCUUUAAUGGUGUAGCAAAACAAACAAAAAACUAUCGCACAUCAUUAACAUCUUACAAUAAGAAAGUGUUAUUAUUAACGAAUAUGUAUUUCACUAAUAAUGGACGUUACAUUGAUAUUGCAUUAUGAAUAAUUUUUAUAUUGCACUCGAGUGAACUUUUGCUUGUCACAAUAUAUUAUUCUACUAAAAUUCUUUGACUUCUUUAAAUUGUACGUUUGGCGUUCUUUUUGCAUACAUUUUUAUGUUUCUUUUUUUCGACACAUAAUUCAAUAUCACUUUAGAACAAUAAGCUGUAUUAGAUUGCACGAAUUCGGAACCCCACCAACGUAGACCUUAGUUCUUUAACCUAACAUAUUAAAAACAAUUGACUAUAAGAUUAAAACAACUUUCCAAAUUAUGCUUUUUGUAAGGUUGAAGAGUUAAGAUAGUCGUUAAUAAAUAUUCAUUAUGAGUCAGGAUUAGAUGUAAUUUUACUAGACUGUAAGAUUAUGUUCGAUCAAGAUUAAAAUGAAUACUACGUACGUUUUAAAUUGCUAAAUUUAAAAAAAUCAUCAAAUAUUCUGCUAAUUAAAAAUAAUAUUCAAAUGUUGACGAUUCAGUUGAUAACUUAUUAAAAAUAUGAAUCACUCUAAAUGUAUUUCUUAAUAUUAUUAAAUCUUUUCUGCAUACGCACAAUCUGUAGUUGAUAAUUACAUUUAAACUAGUAAAACAACUGCAUUUAUAACGCCAGCUUAACAUUCUUUGUUAGUCUUAAGAUUAGGAGAAUUGCUAUUAUUCAUAGUAACUCAAAGUUAAAUAUAACGUUUAAUUAUCAAAUUAAUCUUAUAAAUAACUAAGAUUACAAUGCAUAAUAAAAAUGCCAAUCUUAAGAUAUUAAGUAGCAGCUUAGGUUAAAUGUAAGGACCAUAAAAAAAAAUGAUAUGGUAAGAUAAAAACUUAAAGUUAGGACGAGAGUUUUACGGUUCGCGUAUAAAAUAUGGAUUUGAAAACAACUACACGAAAGACGUAAUUCUUUAAGCAAAUAAAAUGGAAAAUGAAUGUUUGUCCCUAACUUGUAAUAAUAUCGAUAAUAGGGUGAAUGGGAUCAAAAACCCAAGCAUAGGGUAACUACUAAACUCGACGAUAUGUAGUAGCUCGCAUUCAUUUAAUAGUCUUAAUAAGCUUAUGUCUUUGAUUGCUAUGCCACGGAGUAACAAUAAUACAUUUAAUCACAAAUAUUGAUUUUUAAUAAUUAUGAAUAUACUUAGAAAAUCACAACAAAUAUUGAUUUUUUAAUUGAUAAGUUGUUUUUAAAUAUUAAUGUGUGCUUAUAGUUAUUACAAAAACAAUAAGUGAGGAUAAUAAGUAAGUCAUAAUGCGUGACGAAAACCAGACAAUGCUUACAUCAAAUAAUAAAUUACUAAGCGUGUUUUUAAUAACAUAAUGAUAUCUAUGAAAAUAAUUAACGCAUAUAAAAACGUGAAAUAUAUGAAAAGUACUACAGCUAAAGGUUACACUUGCAUAUAUACCCCCACUGAAAUAACUACUGAUGAAUAAUUCUAUAAAGAAAAAAAAUUUAUAGUAAUUAUGAUGAUUCAUUAAAAUAAAUGGUGAAUAGAAAAGGCACCCAUGAUGUUACCUAAUGUAAACACCAACUACACAAAAACACUUUCUCACGAAGCAAUAAUUCGAAUUUCAUAUUUUUAAUUUCUAUAUAAUCUUCUUAAUCGUGAAAUCACUCAAGCACGAAUGUUACUACCUUCUUAAUUAAGGGCAGUGUUAUUAAACAAUCUUUAUCACUUCCAUCCUUAAUUUUUUUUUCUUGGCUUACUAUAAAAAUGUUCGUGUUUGGCUUCCAAUUUUCGUAUUUUUAUAUAUAACGUGCUUCAUCUACUCGACUUUAAACUUGAUUUAAUUGUUCGCUAUUUUAUUUAACGAGACAAUAUUGUAUAAUUAUUUCUUAAUACUCUACAAAUCUAUUCUUAAAACUAGAAGUCCGAGUUAGAUGAUUAAGCAUGAGUUAAUCGAUAUUAACUUAGGCGAUAACAAAGAGUAAAAAACGAUAAGUAAUUGCAUCAGCAGCCGUAGCAUUGGUUUAACGAGCUAUACGUGAAAAAUUGUAUCUCGAUAUCUAUAAAAACUUGAUAUCUAUUUGUCGUUCCAGCAUUACAAGAUUAUUACGCAUGAUUGAGGCAGUUAGGGGUAGAAAGUUAAGUAACGCAUCUUACAAAUAAAGCUUAUCGUUAGUGUUUGUGGUACAUUUGAUAGGAAUGAUCUAUGUAUGCUUAAACGCAGUGGCAUUAUAUUAUGUAAGGCAUGCGAGUUUGCGUAAUUAACUAUCACCAUAAUUAAAAAAGCAAGACGUAACAACUUUGUAUCGAGUGUUUAAACAUUGAGUGCUACACCGCGAUGACCGUCUCAGAUGAGAAAACACGAGUCUUUAUAUCAAGCAUUUUUGUAAAUGUUCAAUGUAUCUGCAAACGCAUUACAAUCUCUUACAAUGUAUCGAGAGCAGUGAGUCAGCGAUUCUUAUAUCCAAAAUAGAAACCACGUCAGAGAAGUAAAAGAAAACUCAUAAAUAAGGAACUUGGUUCCAACAGUUAAGAUGUAACAAUCGAUCAAAGGGUCUGUAACUUGGUAAUCUGCUGAAUUAAGCACUUUAAAAAAAAUAAGAAAAAUAUUCACACGUUUGAUGUCUCUUAAACUUAAUCUUCAUCACUGCAUGUGCAUUCCUAUGGUAGUGAUUAAUUACAGUCGGUUAAUCGCUUAAUUGAUCAAGAGGGAGGAGUCUAAUGUGUUGGAAAAUUAUUAAGCUAAAGCGUUUACGCGGGCAACAUGUAAAAGAUCUCUGUAGACCUGCAAAUUGAUAUUAGAUCUGUAUUUGACACAUUCAAAAGAUCGCAAAGAACAAUAAAAUUAUACAUUCAGAAACCCUUAUUUACGAUUUAUGAGGCUAUGAUCCAUAAUAAAUUGGUAUCAAUUACAUGUGAAACAAUAAAAAAAAUAAAUGUAAAACAAUAAAAAAAAAAAAAAAAUAAUAAACAAACAAACGAAAAAGAAAAAAUAAAACAAAAAAAAACAAAGAAAUGAGACAAGAGUUUUGUAGAACUGUUUAUUCAGAAAAGGUAAAGAUAAUAAAGAUGAAUCCAACAAAGAAAAUAA